AAGGGAAAUGGAAUAGUGAUGGAUAUGAAGAUUUCCGUGACGCAAAAGAAAAUGCCAACUCGCUCAAGCACAAGAGCAGCUAGCUAAAAUUUGAAGUCAAUAGAUUUGCUCAAGAAGAAGCAAGUAAAUGAAAUUAUGAUGGCGAGUCCAAGGAAACAAAAGAUCACAGAGAGCUGAGAGUGAAUUUGGGCGGGGAUAGGAGAACCAUUUCAAUCGCGGAGGCCGAGCAAAACACGACAAGUAACUUGGGCCAAUCUAGGUUGUGGCAUCUAGCUGCUGAUGGUUAAGCCAUUUCUUCAUCGUCUAGAUAAUGAAGCCAGCCAAGUUUUGCUAGAAUUUGGAGGGCAAAUGCUUUCAGAUAACUUUUAGUAUACUUCAUGUUGUUGGGCUUGUAAUGUUCUUCAAUCAUCGUCUCCUUUUAUAUUGGGCCAGAAACAGUAAUAGCUGAAUUCACAGAUCACCCGUCCGCACAAACCACCACUUUUCCAUAUUCCCAAUCAGUCCCCUUCUCUAUUCUCUCUGGAAACGCAGAGGCCAAUAGGAAUGAAGGGCUCUUUCUUUUCAGAAUUUCUAUCAAGGUAAAGAUUUAGUUAUGAUGUUUAUAUGUAUGAGCUCAAUCUGUUGUUUGACUCAGUUUCCCCAAAAGGAAACUCUCUGCGCGCAAGUGUAGUAGAAACAAAAGUUCUCAAACUUUAUGAGUAGGUACAAGUGUACAACAGCACACAAUGUUUACCAAUGAUCGCAGACAAGAAGAGUGAACUGGAAGAUCUAGAACUUCAAGGCUGCAAUACCUUCAGAGUGAAGGUAUAAGAUACUUGCUUUGAUGUUGAAUUGAUUUGGUUAAAUGCUCUGCAUACCAAUUCGGCCUGAUGAGAAUUUCAUAAGAUUACAUACGGCUCAAUGUGGUGGAACUUUUUCUGGACUGCAUAAAACAACCAUAUGAAAAGCUUGUGGAAUUUAGGGUAGUUGGGAUCUGCAAUUGUUGCCACGAUCUGGCCGAUGAAACAAUUAUCACUCUGUGUGGUGGGAUCCCUGUUGUGAUACAAUGUUUAUCAAGCGCAGUUAGAAACACUGGUACUUGUAAUAUGAGAAUAGUCUCAAGAAUGGUACGUACAGUAAACUUAAGAACAUCUAUACGCAGAAGACAAAAUGAUGGUGCAUGUAUUCCUAAGCUUCAAAGCAGAGAUAAUGGUGAAUGUAUUUUUUUGAUGAGAUUUUGGAACUAUAUAAGCAGAUGACUGCUUAUACAACAGUAUAAUUCUUUAUUAAACAGUAUAUGUGUACAGGUUCUGUGUUGAGUUUAUUGUUGUUACUUCACUUA